CUGUGGGAGGGAGGGUGCUGGGCUGAAAAGAGGGGCUGGAGGAACUCUGCCUUCCUGGAGCAGUGCUGUGUGGCAGGGACCAUGCCUGCUGCCCAAGGGGGAUCAGUCUCUCUAUCCUGGUGUUACCACCAUGCUUCAAUCCCAGGGAGAUGCUCAGCUGUGGCUGACGUGUGUGACUGAGUAAAGGUCACUCUCUUCCCUGAUCCUACUGCUUGCAACACUUAAAUCAGAGGAGCAAUAACAAGCCUCUGUCUCUUAAGAUAAAAGGGAUAUCAGCUUUCACCAGGCUUUUCUCCAAUUGUCAGAAAUCAGGUCAAGGGGCUGGGUUAAACAAUUGCUGCCUGGCCUUUCCUUCAAGGGAUUUGAGUCCAGCUAUUCAGGCAGAAUGGAGCAUUAAGAGCCACAGCCUCCUCUGGCUUAUCAUCAGAGUGAAGCCAACACUCCAGGCACAGCGCAACUGGGACCACUGUGUUGUUACUUGGAAAUCGGCCAGGUCUGCAGCUGAGACAUUAUCAAAAUGCGCUGCCUGUGAGCAAGUAUCAGCCUGAAUCUACAAAGUUAUAAAGAAAGAUGAAUCUUGAAUCUGAUCACAAAAACCUACAUUUCAUUGGGGCUAAUCAAAAUGACGGGCUGAGACCUCAGCGCCUGGGAUCUGCACUGUGUGGGUAUCUACCACGGGAUGGAUGUACAAUAGACAUGCAGUGAGAUAUGUAUCAGCACAGCUCAUCCCAGUCUGCCAAGCCAAGUUAUUGAUGGGAAUUGCACUACUUGCUGAUUGAAAUCACUUUCUGUGAUUGAAAAUCCAGGAAAGGCUCAAGAGGCCAAAUAGACACCAAGCAGAAGUUUACUCUUGCUGCCUGUUAGCCUUCUAAAACUGAAGCCUGGUCCUAGCUGCUUCCCUAGGAGCUUUCUACCUUCACAGGGGGGAAGGCAUUUCCAGGGAAUGACUGAUUUCACCUAUCUUUGACAGUUGCUUUAAGAUGGAAAUGCUCAUCUGGAUGCAGAGGCAUCUGAGACAACAAGUUUAGACUUGAAUCCCGCUUUCAGAUGCCUAACAUUAGAUGAGAUAAAUUCCUUAUGAGGGUUCUUGAAUUUUAAUUCUUUCUUCAAAUCUAUUGCUGACAGCUCAAAUAUUUCCCUGCAAGCUUUCCUUUCUCUACAGUAUAAGGGAAAAAGUUCACUCUUCUAACUUAGUGGAGACUUGAGCAGGUGAGGAUUUGUACAGUAAAUCCUUAUUUGAAUUUCAAUUAAAUUUCAAGUAAAGUAGCUAAAACCAGGCAGUAAUAAAAUGAUGACAGACACUUUUUCACCAGUGAUGGGGUAUUGCACAUUAUAGAACUUAUUUUUCGCAAGUUCUUAUUUUUUUGUUAUUGUAUUAUUAAGUCUCUGUUCUUAUGGGAUAUGAGGGAUAAAAUUUAAUGGAAAUUCCAUAGCAUUUGCAGUAGCUAAAUCGGAAAAAGAAGUCGCUGUAACUCUGAGGGACAUGCAAACUGCUGGCCUGAUCCUGCCACCCAGUGUGCAUGAUAUUUUCUUGCUUGAAUGAGCCCAUUAAUCUCAGUAGAGCUGCUUACAUGCAGAAGCAUUGCAAGUUCACAUCAGCCUUCAGAACCAUGGUAUGCAUUCGAUGCAUUCAGCUGCCAGUUCUGCAAAGGGGAAUCAGGACUCAUUUACUGAUGGGGAAUGCUUUUUCUUGGUGUUUUUUUUUUUUUUUUUUUUUUUUUCAGUACUGGAUUUCACUAUGUUUACUGUGUUUCUUUUUAUUUAUUUAUUUUUCCCAGAAAUGCAUGUUCUCACACAUUCAUCAGCUAUGAGACUGGAUAUAAAAACAAACCAAGGGAUAAUUCUAAUGGAUAGUGAGAUUUUUAAUUAACAUCUGGAAAGUAUUUUAAACUAUUUCUCAUGACAGAUAUGCAACCUAGAGCAGAGAGUGUAGCAGAAAAAGCUGAAUUUUAUUCCCCUUCUCUAGGUUUAACAAGACAUUUUUGUCUGUUGAAACAAGUGGAUGAGAAAACGAAUCCUCAGGCAAUAGAUUUCCACUCAUCACCAACAGAACACGCUCAUCUACCGUUAGAUGUACAAAGUACCUGUAUUUUGUUUAUUGGCCCCUUGCAGAAACUGGUCAUGCAUGUCUGGAGUAAAUCACUGGUAAAUCAAACAUAACAAACUAAAAAAGCAAUCUAUAGGGUUUCCUAAAAUAAUCUCUGGUGUAUAUGUGCAAAUGUAUAAACUUUGCAGCUCUUGCAGGGGUGUAGCUGAGGACAGAAUGUUACCCUUUGAGUUUGGGUGGUUUUGUGAAACACAUUUUAAAAAGCCCACAAUAUGCCUCCUAGAGUCAUAAGUCAGCGGUUGGGUGACUGGUUUGAAUUAAGACAACGAACAAAGACAAACGAAACAUAAUCCUGCACGUCUGUACAUUCUGGAGGCUUUCCUCUUCAUUUGGUGUCAGUACUGAACCAAAAGUAUUUAGAGAGGCAAUAUUAUUGAACACAACAAAUAGGAAGCAAAGCAUAAUUUUUGUUAGGGGUAAGUCAUCCCUUAGGCAGAAGCAUUCCAUCAGUCUUACUGCAUUUCACUGCACUGAAUUAUGGUUAAUUUGUGGUCGGAAAAAAUAGAGGCACUGUGGUUACUGCAAAUUAUAUACUGUGUUUCCAGUUUAAAGGGAAACAAAAGGCAUGUGUUGUAAAUAUAAACUUUUUUUCUCCAAUUUUAAAAACAAAAAUCCAUUUGGAUGCUUAGUUCAGACUCUAUUCAGCAUCUACAGUAACUAUGCUAUUUCAGUGUUCAUUUAGGAAAUAUUUCUCUAGUGGGAAAAUGAAAAUCAGUACGGUUGAAUAAUUGGCAAGUAUGAGUUAACUGUAUUCUGGUGUCUAGCUCUAUACAAUGGUGACAAUAUUUGCUCCCUGAUGGCAUAACCAGAAAAAGAACAUUUUUGUGUUGAGCAAUGACAAUUAUUAGCCAUUAGAAGAAAAUGCCAACACAAACGUUGGAUUCUCCCAUCAUUUGGGAUCUCUAACUCAGCACUGUAGCUUUUCCCAGAGGAUAUAUGCCAAACAUUAGAGCUUAAGGCAGGAAUUGCUUGUUAAGGAUUGUUUCUUAGGAGGUCAGGCUAAAUGAUCCAAAUGGUGGUUUUACCCUUAAGAUUUUUGGCUUAGGGACUGCCAUUUGGGACACGGUUUUUGUAUUGUCGGGCCUUGACUAUGGGAACCUCCUUAGCAGAGAUAUGCAGUUUUGAUGAUGUCUGCUGUACAUUUUGCUUUCAAAAACUUGCAUUAUUCUGAAAAUAACUGAGCCUUGAAUAUUGCCUACUGCUCAUUUCAGAGAGAAAACCAGUUAGUCAGAAAUGAAAGGUUCCAUUUUAUCACUGAUGCAAUAUUUCUGGAAAAGGAAAGCUCCAUUCUGCAAGGCUGCUUGCCAGCUUAAGUAACAUGCUGAGGACCUCCAAACCCAAAGGUUCAUAUUUCUGGGAAUUAAACCAAGAAGAAAUCUGGGCAGCCUGGUAGAGAGAAAGGCAGAUGUGGACAUAGAUGUGAUGGAAGGUUUUGUACUGCAGGAUUGAGAAGAAUGCUUUAUACAGCAAGCUGCCUCUUCCUUCUUCCAAAAGUGACCUUGAAGCAGAAAUUUUGGACAUCAUAAGCCUUUCCCCCUGCAACAGUGUUGUGCAAUUUUGUGUAGCUUUUUUUUUUUUUUUUUUCCCCCCCCCAGGGCUGUAAUUAAUGUAUUGGUUUAUUUGGGAGAAUGUGCUCAUGUUAUAUUGAUAGGUCUGCAGUUAGGCAUUAAUGGCAGUGAUUACUACUGGUUCAGCCAGGGCUCGAAACAAUGGAAAAAUCUCAUGAUAAGCUCUCAAAACUUGGCUGCAAUUUUGCAAGCACAAGUAGUUUUGGAAACUUUAGAUAAGCUUCCAAAGGUUUAGAUCCAGGUCCAAACAAAACGCAAGCAUUAAAAUUAUGAGGCUUGUGCAUCACUAACACAUACUACCAUAUUUACUUCUAUGAGGAAAUACUAAACAUUUUAUGGAUUUUUCAUGCCCCAGUUGGUUCUCUACACUGGCUGGGAUUGCUGUAGCCUGCCGUUGCAGCUAUAUAGACAUCAAUAAAGAUGAAUAAAGCUGGGCAGUCAGAUUCUAAUUUAUGCUGAUCGUUUGGAUGGCUCAGGGCACUUCAGCACACAUGCUUAGCCAGUGACCUUUCACACUUGCCUUCUAGAUCAAAGCACUUUAUUCGUCCACUUCCAAGAAAAUCACAAAGACAAAAUUCCCAUUCAGCAUGCCUUUAUUAAUCUACAAAGGGCCAAAUCCUGACGCCUUUAAUCUGCUCCUACUCGUCACCGCAAUGAUUUAAAGAGCAGAGCAUUGCCUUCAGAGGGCUGGGCCCAAAAUCAAUAUGGAGAAAGGCCAAACGCUCUGUAGAUAUAAAUGAAGACGGGACUGCCGUGUUCAGACAGGAUCUCACAGUCUCCAUACUCCCUUGCUUCCAAGCCCUUUGUCUGUGAAUCUGAUAAAUCCUCAGCAAAAGUUAAAUUUCCCUUGUGCAUUUUUCGCUUUGCUGUUUUUUGCUGAAUGCUCACUGUCUCCUGGCAGAUGUUUGCUGUGCUGGGUCUUGCUUGCUAUGGGGAACUCACUGGGUGGCCCUCGGGGAGAUGCACCAGGAUAGGCAGGUGCUCCAUGCUUCACAGGAUCUAGUUGCAUAGCACCUAGUCUAUAUUCCUGAUAAUUUCUUCAUAACUAAGUACACUCAGACAAUUUCUACAAGUGUUCAUGCAAAAGGAUCUGUUCUGUAAUCCGUCGGUGCAAUCUGUUCGGGUCUCUUGAGGCUGUAACAGGCGAACUCCCCCAAAACUUGCUUCCAAUUCACAACUGUGUCAAUGAAAGGAGAAUCAGGGCAUCUGAUACACACACAUGAGAAUAAAAAGCAUCCCCAGGGACUGUGGAUUGGUCACAACUUCAAUUUUCCUCCUCCUGAUUAAUUUCCAUACUUCUGAAAAGACAAACUUCUGUUCACUCCUUAUGGUUUAUGUUUGCUUGUGUUUGAUACUAUUUAAAUGUGCUUUAAAAAAUCAAGCAAGCUCAA